rnacentral:rRNA from 1 species
GUGAGGAAUAUUGGUCAAUGGGCGCGAGCCUGAACCAGCCAAGUCGCGUGAGGGAUGACGGCCCUACGGGUUGUAAACCUCUUUUGUCGGGGAGCAAAUUCCGUUACGUGUAACGGAGUCGAGAGUACCCGAAGAAAAAGCAUCGGCUAACUCCGUGCCAGCAGCCGCGGUAAUACGGAGGAUGCGAGCGUUAUCCGGAUUUAUUGGGUUUAAAGGGUGCGUAGGCGGACUGUCAAGUCAGCGGUAAAAUACGGGGGCUCAACCUCCGCCCGCCGUUGAAACUGACGGUCUUGAGUGGGCGAGAAGUAUGCGGAAUGCGUGGUGUAGCGGUGAAAUGCAUAGAUAUCACGCAGAACUCCGAUUGCGAAGGCAGCAUACCGGCGCCCAACUGACGCUGAAGCACGAAAGCGUGGGUAUCGAACAGGAUUAGAAACCCCUGUAGUCC